rnacentral:rRNA from 1 species
UACGAAGGGGGCUAGCGUUGCUCGGAAUCACUGGGCGUAAAGCGCACGUAGGCGGACUCUUAAGUCGGUGGUGAAAUCCUGGAGCUCAACUCCAGAACUGCCUUCGAUACUGGGAGUCUCGAGUUCGGGAGAGGUGAGUGGAACUGCGAGUGUAGAGGUGAAAUUCGUAGAUAUUCGCAAGAACACCAGUGGCGAAGGCGGCUCACUGGCCCGAUACUGACGCUGAGGUGCGAAAGCGUGGGGAGCGAUCCGG